AGGAUAAACGCUGGCGGCGUGCCUAACACAUGCAAGUCGAACGCGCUUGCUAUCCGCGAGGACGGUGAGCGAGUGGCGGACGGGUGAGGAACACGUGGGUGACCUACCUUUCAGUGAGGGAUACCGGCGAGAAAUUGCCGACAAGACCGCAUACGCUUCUCUUUUCAAGGGGAGAAGGAAAGCUUUUCGCAAGAGAGGCGCUGGGAGAUGGGCCUGCGGCCGAUUAGCUAGCUGGUGGGGUAAUGGCCUACCAGGGCGACGAUCGGUAGCUGGUCUGAGAGGACGAUCAGCCACACUGGGAUUGAGAACGGCCCAGACUCCUACGGGGGGCAGCAGUGAGGAAUUUUCGGCAAUGGGGGCAACCCUGACCGAGCAACGCCGCGUGCAGGACGACGGCCUUCGGGUUGUAAACUGCUUUUCUCUGGGACGAGCAAGGACGGUACCAGAGGAAGAAGCCCCGGCUAACUACGCGCCAGCAGCCGCGGU
rnacentral:rRNA from 1 species